rnacentral:rRNA from 1 species
UACAGAGGGGGCAAGCGUUGUUCGGAAUUACUGGGCGUAAAGGGCGCGUAGGCGGCCCGCUAAGUCGAACGUGAAAUCCCUGGGCUUAACCCAGGAACUGCGUCCGAUACUGGCAGGCUUGAAUCCGGGGGAGGGAUGCGGAAUUCCAGGUGUAGCGGUGAAAUGCGUAGAUAUCAGGAGGAACACCGGUGGUGUAGACGGCUUUCUGGACCGUAACUGACGCUGAGACACGAAAGCGUGGGUAGCAAACAGG